GACGAACGCUGGCGGCGUGCCUAAUACAUGCAAGUAGAACGCUGAAGGAGGAGCUUGCUCUUUCCGGAUGAGUUGCGAACGGGUGAGUAACGCGUAGGUAACCUGCCUGGUAGCGGGGGAUAACUAUUGGAAACGAUAGCUAAUACCGCAUAAGAGUAGAUAUCGCAUGAUAGCUGCUUGAAAGGUGCAAUUGCACCACUACCAGAUGGACCUGCGUUGUAUUAGCUAGUUGGUGAGGUAACGGCUCACCAAGGCAACGAUACAUAGCCGACCUGAGAGGGUGAUCGGCCACACUGGGACUGAGACACGGCCCAGACUCCUACGGGAGGCAGCAGUAGGGAAUCUUCGGCAAUGGACGGGAAGUCUGACCGAGCAAACGCCCGCGUGAGUGAAAGAAAGGUUUUUCGGAUUCGUAAAAGCUUCUG
rnacentral:rRNA from 1 species